GCGUCAGUAGUGCAAUGAUAGAGCGCGCGCUCCAGGAAAGAGUAAGGUGCGGGUUCUAAUUCCGCCUGACGCA